rnacentral:rRNA from 1 species
GAUGAACGCUGGCGGCGUGCUUAACGCAUGCAAGUCGAACGGAAAGGCCACAGCUUGCUGUGGUACUCGAGUGGCGCACGGGUGAGUAACACGUGGGUGAUAUGCCCUGUACUUCGGGAUAAGCUUGGGAAACUGGGUCUCAUACCGGAUAGGAAUCACAUGUGGGUGUGUGGUUGGAAAGCUUUUGCGGUAUGGGAUGAGCUCGCGGCCUAUCAGCUUGUUGGUGGGGUAAUGGCCUACCAAGGCGUCGACGGGUAGCCGGCCUGUGAGGGUGUACGGCCACAUUGGGACUGAGAGACGGCCCAGACUCCUACGGGAGGCAGCAGUGGGGAAUAUUGCACAAUGGGCGCAAGCCUGAUGCAGCGACGCCGCGUGGGGGAUGACGGCCUUCGGGUUGUAAACUCCUUUCGUCAGGGACGAAGCGAAAGUGACGGUACCUGGAUAAGAAGCACCGGCUAACUACGUG